UAGGGAAUCUUCGGCAAUGGACGAAAGUCUGACCGAGCAACGCCGCGUGAGUGAUGAAGGUUUUCGGAUCGUAAAACUCUGUUGCCAGGGAAGAAUAGUCGAGAGAGUAACUGCUCUUGGCAUGACGGUACCUGAGAAGAAAGCCCCGGCUAACUACGUGCCAGCAGCCGCGGUAAUACGUAGGGGGCAAGCGUUGUCCGGAAUUAUUGGGCGUAAAGCGCGCGCAGGCGGUCUUUUAAGUCUGGUGUAUAAACCAAGGGCUCAACCUUUGGACGCAUUGGAAACUGGGAGACUGGAGUGUAGGAGAGGAAAGUGGAAUUCCACGUGUAGCGGUGAAAUGCGUAGAGAUGUGGAGGAACACCAGUGGCGAAGGCGACUUUCUGGCCUAUAACUGACGCUGAGGCGCGAAAGCGUGGGGAGCAAACA
rnacentral:rRNA from 1 species